AAAGUCGUAACAAGGUCUCCGUUGGUGAACCAGCGGAGGGAUCAUUAUCGAGUGUAAAACUCACCAACCCAUGUGAACAUACCUUCUGUUGCUUCGGCGGGAUCGCCCCGGGCUCCUCUGUGCUGCCCCGGAAUCAGGCGCCCGCCGGGGGAAUCAAACUUUUGUCUUUAUAGUGAUUUUCUGAGUGGCUCUUUGAGCAAAAAAUAAAUCAAAACUUUCAACAAUGGAUCUCUUGGUUCUG
rnacentral:misc_RNA from 1 species